AAACCUAGGGCGCGAGCCCGGGCG
rnacentral:snRNA from 1 species